rnacentral:rRNA from 1 species
GAUGAACGCUGGCGGCGUGCUUAACACAUGCAAGUCGAACGGUGAAGCAGAGCUUGCUCUGUGGAUCAGUGGCGAACGGGUGAGUAACACGUGAGCAACCUGCCCCGGACUCUGGGAUAAGCGCUGGAAACGGCGUCUAAUACCGGAUACGAGAUUCCACCGCAUGGUGAGGUUCUGGAAAGAUUUUUUGGUCUGGGAUGGGCUCACGGCCUAUCAGCUUGUUGGUGAGGUAAUGGAUCACCAAGGCGUCGACGGGUAGCCGGCCUGAGAGGGUGACCGGCCACACUGGGACUGAGACACGGCCCAGACUCCUACGGGAGGCAGCAGUGGGGAAUAUUGCACAAUGGGCGGAAGCCUGAUGCAGCAACGCCGCGUGAGGGAUGACGGCCUUCGGGUUGUAAACCUCUUUUAGCAGGGAAGAAGCGAAAGUGACGGUACCUGCAGAAAAAGCGCCGGCUAACUACGUGCCAGCCGCCGCAGUAACAC